AAACUUUGCAAUGUGCGAAAGCACGACAAGGUUAAUCCGAGUGGUUUCUGCUAAAGGAACCUUUUGUUAGUCCUAGAAACACUAACGAAUAAGGGGUGGGCAAGUUCUGGUGUCAGCCGCCGCGGUAAAACCAGCACCUCAAGUGGUCAGGAUGAUUAUUGGGCCUAAAGCAUCCGUAGCCUGCUCUGUAAGUUUUCGGUUAAAUCUGUACGCUCAACGUACAGGCUGCCGGGAAUACUGCAAAGCUAGGGAGUGGGAGAGGUAGACGGUACUCGGGAGGAAGUGGUAAAAUCCUUUGAUCUAUGGAUGACCACCUGUGGCGAAGGCGGUCUACCAGAACACGUCUGACGGUGAGGGAUGAAAGCUGGGGGAGCAAACCGG
rnacentral:rRNA from 1 species